UAAUUACUAAGGAGUAGGUAGCAAUGCAAGUGGCAGAAUUUUUAGAAUCACUAGUACUCUUACCUGAUCUUCUUAUUCAAAGAGGCUAGUUGCCCGGCCGGCAGCUAAUUAGCUAGUACCUCCUCCAAUAACCUCUAUCGUUCACCUCCAGAUCUCGGCGGCUAGCUGGGUUCAGACGCCGCCAGCCCUCCCAAAUUAACCCCAGUCGUCGGCUCCUUCGCCAUAAGCAGCUGCUUUUGCUUUCACAUCUUGCAAGAUCAAAGCAACGGGAGCUCACUGCAACUGCAAGUAGUAUAUACCAUCCACACCACACCAUACCCAGCAGAGCAGAGAGGGCAUGGAUGUGGUGACGGGUGCGCUGGGCAAGCUCCCCUCCAUGCUGUUGGAGCUACUCUAGUUUACUUAAUGAGGAAUGUGAGUACUCUACCCUGUCUGUGAUGAGUGGAUUGUCAACCGUGCGGUGUGAUCGUGCGCUUGGUCUUUGAAUUGCAGGUACACGGGCGUCGAGUGUCGGCGGGGAGCUACCGUGGAGGUGCUGUGGCCGAUGGACCGUGCGGUGGACGGCGGUGAAGGGCAGCUGGGACCGGAGCUCGGACCGGGCGGCAGCUGUGGCGUCCAUUCCUGGAUCGAGGGCGCAAGCGGCGACGGGAGGCGGGUUUCUUGGUUUGCGCCACAAAACCAAGGAGGCGGACGGCGGUUGAAGACGCCAAGUCGUGGAGGCACGGGCGUUGGUCUCGGGACUGACGGAGGCGCCGGGCGUCGACGGCGUCUAGGGCCUCGCUGCGGGCGAGGAGGUGACGGGCGUCGGGCGACGUCUAGGGCCGUCAGGAGGCCGAGGCGGUAACGGCGUCUAGGGCCACGGCGUGGAGGCGGGAAUCUUCCCGCGCGUGAGGUUUUGGCGGUUUUCUCAAAACCGGCCACCUACCCGGGUUUCGCGGACCCUCCAAAACCGCAGACCGGAUCUUCGUCGACGUGGCGGCAUCGCAGCAAAGACUUCAAGUCGAAGAAAGAAGCUCCGCCGUCGAUCGAGGCUGUACAGUAGGGUGCUGCUGACCCGACCGGUCUGACCGGUCCCCUGGACCGGUCUGACCGGUCUGGCCGCAGUAGCCGGGUAUAAAUACCCCCCACCAGCCCGUGGCUGGUUGAGUCUCUUGAGUCUUUUGUUUUCUCUGGGUUUUUCCUUCUCCCUGCCCCUGUUCUAGGUUAGGGCCAAGGACUCCAACGCAAAGAGAGUUUAGAUUAUAGCUAUUCUCUUCAAUCUAGUGGGUGGAUGAUGGGCGGAUGGCUCUAGCUGUUGUAUAGGUGAAUUCCUCUGAGAUUUAAUAGAUAAAAUUUGUUUGUGAUUCAC